GAUGAACGCUGGCGGCGUGCCUAAUACAUGCAAGUCGAGCGAACAGAUGAGGAGCUUGCUCCUCUGACGUUAGCGGCGGACGGGUGAGUAACACGUGGAUAACCUACCUAUAAGACUGGGAUAACUUCGGGAAACCGGAGCUAAUACCGGAUAAUAUAUUGAACCGCAUGGUUCAAUAGUGAAAGACGGUUUUGCUGUCACUUAUAGAUGGAUCCGCGCCGCAUUAGCUAGUUGGUAAGGUAACGGCUUACCAAGGCAACGAUGCGUAGCCGACCUGAGAGGGUGAUCGGCCACACUGGAACUGAGACACGGUCCAGACUCCUACGGGAGGCAGCAGUAGGGAAUCGUCCGCAAUGGGCGAAAGCCUGACGGGGCAACGCCGCGUGAGUGAUGAAGGUCUUCGGAUCGUAAAACUCUGUUAUUAGGGAAGAACAAAUGUGUAAGUAACUAUGCACGUCUUGACGGUACCUAAUCAGAAAGCCACGGCUAACUACGUG
rnacentral:rRNA from 1 species